rnacentral:lncRNA from 1 species
GUCCUCCUAAUUCUUUUUUACUGUUGCCUAGUCUCCUCUCUGACUUGACCGUCGGAGGGUCUCCGUCGAAGGCAUCUUCGAUCAGUAUGGACUUUUCUUGCAGGUGCCCAUUUUUGAUGAUCAGACGAUGAGGAGAUUAACCGCAACACUGUCUUUCAAACUAACACGUGCUUUUCGUCUCACUACGCCUCAAAGCCUCCAUAGGACCACUCCGUAUCUUCCUUCAUCGACUGCUUUAUCCUGUCCUCGUCACGUCACGCAAGGGUGUCCGAUUGGACUGAGUAAUUCUAAGCUACAGGAUUUCCAUCAGCCAUUUACACAAUCGGUAUUUUCACUACAUAAUUUUAUGCCAACGUAUACCACAUAGGCUAUGAGGCUUACACUGUUGACAC